rnacentral:rRNA from 1 species
UGGCUCAGGAUGAACGCUGGCGGCGUGCUUAACACAUGCAAGUCGAGCGAAGCGAUUCAAAUGAAGUUUUCGGAUGGAUUUUGAAUUGACUUAGCGGCGGACGGGUGAGUAACGCGUGGGUAACCUGCCUCAUACAGGGGGAUAACAGUUGGAAACGGCUGCUAAUACCGCAUAAGCACACAGUGCCGCAUGGUACGGUGUGAAAAACUCCGGUGGUAUGAGAUGGACCCGCGUCUGAUUAGGUAGUUGGUGAGGUAACGGCCCACCAAGCCGACGAUCAGUAGCCGACCUGAGAGGGUGACCGGCCACAUUGGGACUGAGACACGGCCCAAACUCCUACGGGAGGCAGCAGUGGGGAAUAUUGGACAAUGGGGGAAACCCUGAUCCAGCGACGCCGCGUGAGUGAAGAAGUAUUUCGGUAUGUAAAGCUCUAUCAGCAGGGAAGAAAAUGACGGUACCUGACUAAGAAGCCCCGGCCAACUACGUGCCAGCAGCCGCGGUAAUACGUAGGGGGCAAGCGUUAUCCGGAUUUACUGGGUGUAAAGGGAGCGUAGACGGCACUGCAAGUCUGGAGUGAAAGCCCGGGGCUCAACCCCGGGACUGCUUUGGAAACUGUGGUGCUAGAGUGCAGGAGAGGUAAGUGGAAUUCCUAGUGUAGCGGUGAAAUGCGUAGAUAUUAGGAGGAACACCAGUGGCGAAGG